AUUGAACGCUGGCGGCAGGCCUAACACAUGCAAGUCGAGCGGAUGAAGGGAGCUUGCUCCUGGAUUCAGCGGCGGACGGGUGAGUAAUGCCUAGGAAUCUGCCUGGUAGUGGGGGAUAACGUCCGGAAACGGGCGCUAAUACCGCAUACGUCCUGAGGGAGAAAGUGGGGGAUCUUCGGACCUCACGCUAUCAGAUGAGCCUAGGUCGGAUUAGCUAGUUGGUGGGGUAAAGGCCUACCAAGGCGACGAUCCGUAACUGGUCUGAGAGGAUGACCCGUCACACGGGAACUGAGACACGGUCCAGACUCCUACGGGAGGAAGCAGUGGGGAAUAUUGGACGAUGGGGGAAAGCCUGAUCCAGCCAUGCCGCGUGUGUGAAGAAGGUCUUCGGAUUGUAAAGCGCUUUAAGUUGGGAGGAAGGGAAGUAAGUUAAUACCUUGCUGUUUUGACGUUACCAACAGAAUAAGCACCGGCUAACUUCGUG
rnacentral:rRNA from 1 species